rnacentral:rRNA from 1 species
AUUCCAGCUCCAAUAGCGUAUACUAAAGUUGUUGCGAUUAAAAAGCUCGUAGUUGGAUCUCAGGCAUGGGCGCACGGUCCGCCUCGCGGCGGUCACUGUGUGAAUUGUUUUCCCAUCCUACGCUUCCCGGUUGUUCAGCCCAUGGUGCUCUUCAUUGAGCGUUUUGGGUGGCCGGAACGUUUACUUUGAAGAAAUUAGAGUGUUCAAAGCAGGCACAUCGCCUGAAUAAUGGUGCAUGGAAUGAUGGAAUAGGACCUCGGUUCUAUUUUGCUGGUUUUCGGAACACGAGGUAAUGAUUAAGAGGGACAGACGGGGGCAUCCGUAUUGCGGUGUUAGAGGUGAAAUUCUUGGAUCAUCGCAAGACGAACAACUGCGAAAGCAUUUGCCAAGCAUGUUUUCAUCG